CCGAGUUGUAAUUUGCAGAGGGCGCUUUGGCUUUGGCAGCGGUCCAAGUUCCUUGGAACAGGACGUCACAGAGGGUGAGAAUCCCGUACGUGGUCGCUGGCUAUUGCCGUGUAAAGCCCCUUCGACGAGUCGAGUUGUUUGGGAAUGCAGCUCUAAAUGGGAGGUACAUUUCUUCUAAAGCUAAAUAUUGGCCAGAGACCGAUAGCGCACAAGUAGAGUGAUCGAAAGAUGAAAAGCACUUUGGAAAGAGAGUCAAACAGCACGUGAAAUUGUUGAAAGGGAAGCGCUUGCAGCCAGACUUGCUUACAGUUGCUCAUCCGGGUUUCUACCCGGUGCACUCUUCUGUAGGCAGGCCAGCAUCAGUUUGGGCGGUAGGAUAA
rnacentral:rRNA from 2 species